UACGUAGGUGGCAAGCGUUGUUCGGAAUUACUGGGCGUAAAGGGCGCGUAGGUGGCCUGUUAAGUCGAACGUGAAAUCCCCGGGCUCAACCCGGGAACUGCGUCCGAGACUGGCAGGCUCGAAUCCGGGAGAGGGAUGUGGAAUUCCAGGUGUAGCGGUGAAAUGCGUAGAUAUCUGGAGGAACACCGGUGGCGAAGGCGGCAUCCUGGACCGACACUGACGCUGAGGCGCGAAAGCUAGGGGAGCAAACGGG
rnacentral:rRNA from 1 species